GGGAGAAGGAGCCCUCCUGAAGCAUGUGAAGGGAAGAGGCCUGACUAAGUUCUGCUCCGGGUACUGUAUGUCAACAUUGGAACCAAAUCUGUAGAUCAUAACGUUGUGCCCACUGCAGUGCCUGGCAAUAAAGCAGAACCAUGCACCCAGCAACACCUUUGAUCUCAACCAUAUGGAGCUCCACCGUGCUCCUGGAAAAAAAAAAUUUCCCUUGCCUCCGAUGCAGGCCGAGAGAUACUGGGGCCCCCAGAUGGCCAAAUACCAGUCAUGAUUGCGACUUCAUUGAUUAUUUUCUUUUCUGAUUGGUUCUGAUUGAAAAUAAAUAAAAC